GACCUAGCGGCGGACGGGUGAGUAAUGCUUAGGAAUCUGCCUAUUAGUGGGGGACAACAUUCCGAAAGGAAUGCUAAUACCGCAUACGCCCUACGGGGGAAAGCAGGGGAUCUUCGGACCUUGCGCUAAUAGAUGAGCCUAAGUCAGAUUAGCUAGUUGGUGGGGUAAAGGCCUACCAAGGCGACGAUCUGUAGCGGGUCUGAGAGGAUGAUCCGCCACACUGGGACUGAGACACGGCCCAGACUCCUACGGGAGGCAGCAGUGGGGAAUAUUGGACAAUGGGCGAAAGCCUGAUCCAGCCAUGCCGCGUGUGUGAAGAAGGCCUUUUGGUUGUAAAGCACUUUAAGCGAGGAGGAGGCUACUGAGAUUAAUACUCUAGGAUAGUGGACGUUACUCGCAGAAUAAGCACCGGCUAACUCUGUGCCAGCAGCCGCGGUAAUACAGAGGGUGCGAGCGUUAAUCGGAUUUACUGGGCGUAAAGCGUGCGUAGGCGGCUUUUUAAGUCGGAUGUGAAAUCCCUGAGCUUAACUUAGGAAUUGCAUUCGAUACUGGGAAGCUAGAGUAUGGGAGAGGAUGGUAGAAUUCCAGGUGUAGCGGUGAAAUGCGUAGAGAUCUGGAGGAAUACCGAUGGCGAAGGCAGCCAUCUGGCCUAAUACUGACGCUGAGGUACGAAAGCAUGGGGAGCAAACAGGAUUAGAUACCCUGGUAGUCCAUGCCGUAAACGAUGUCUACUAGCCGUUGGGGCCUUU
rnacentral:rRNA from 1 species